rnacentral:lncRNA from 10 species
GCUGAUGAGCAAUAUUAAGUCUUUCGCUCCUAUCUGAUGUAUCUGGCGGUAACAUUCUAGUUUAUGCCCCGAAAAGGGGAAUAUAGCCAUUCUAUAAUGUUUGGAGAUUUUGGAUUACUCCUAAUUGUAUGCAAGUUGUCUUACUGUGUAUUGUCCCUUAAUUUCAGGACUCAGAAUUCAUGAUUGAAGAAAUGCAGGCAGACCUGUUAUCCUAAACUAGGUGAGUCAGCUUUUGGUACAUGUGAUGAUUUUCAGUGUAACCAAUGAUGUAAUGAUUCUGCCAAAUGAAAUAUAAUGAUAUCACUGUAAAACCGUUCCAUUUUGAUUCUGAGGUUACUCUACUAACAAGCAUCACACAUUUGUAUUUUGCCCUGAUUAAUAUGUUGGCUUCGCUUUCAGGGUUUUUAAUGACCACAACAAGCAAGCAUGCAGCUUACUGCUUGAAAGGGUCUUGCCUCACCCAAGCUAGAGUGCAGUGGCCUUUGAAGCUUACUACAGCCUCAAACUUCUGGGCUCAAGUGAUCCUCAGCCUCCCAGUGGUCUUUGUAGACUGCCUGAUGGAGUCUCAUGGCACAAGAAGAUUAAAACAGUGUCUCCAAUUUUAAUAAAUUUUUGCAAUCC